rnacentral:snoRNA from 1 species
UCCCUUCAUAAUCCUUUCCCCUCAGGUAUAAAUAUGGGUCUGAAUGGCUGAAAAAGAGGAAAAGUAAAACUGAAGUGGGCAUGGAGGCUUUAAUGACAUACAAGUUCAUUUCAAACAUUA